AAUUAUAUGUCACAUAAAGUCCACCUUGCAUUUGUAAAUUUUGCUUGCACUCUCGCCCUGUUCAUCAGCUGUUCACCUUAUUAACGCAUUUGUGUUCUAAUUGUGUUUUGUUACUGAUGUUUUGAUUGGCUAAGCAAAAAUUUAAUCUAUCAUUUUUAACAAAAUUUUUAUAAACAAAUUAAUAUUAACGAACGAUAAGGAAUAUCAAAAAGUGAAAAUGAUAUAAAACUAAUUGUAAAAUAAAAUUCGAUGAUAUACAUUACAUAACAAAAGCAUAUCUAAGGUGUGUUGAAAAGGUGACAAUAAUGUUGGGUUUGUUGGUGUCAAGUUGCGGACGAAGAAGUCAAUUUCUACAACUGCCCAGAUAUCAUGUACAUACAAAAA